rnacentral:rRNA from 1 species
UGUGUGUUAGUGGAAGCGUCUGGAAAGGCGCGCGAUACAGGGUGACAGCCCCGUACACAAAAAUGCACAUGCUGUGAGCUCGAUGAGUAGGGCGGGACACGUGGUAUCCUGUCUGAAUAUGGGGGGACCAUCCUCCAAGGCUAAAUACUCCUGACUGACCGAUAGUGAACCAGUACCGUGAGGGAAAGGCGAAAAGAACCCCGGCGAGGGGAGUGAAAAAGAACCUGAAACCGUGUACGUACAAGCAGUGGGAGCACGCUUAGGCGUGUGACUGCGUACCUUUUGUAUAAUGGGUCAGCGACUUAUAUUCUGUAGCAAGGUUAACCGAAUAGGGGAGCCGAAGGGAAACCGAGUCUUAACUGGGCGUUAAGUUGCAGGGUAUAGACCCGAAACCCGGUGAUCUAGCCAUGGGCAGGUUGAAGGUUGGGUAACACUAACUGGAGGACCGAACCGACUAAUGUUGAAAAAUUAGCGGAUGACUUGUGGCUGGGGGUGAAAGGCCAAUCAAACCGGGAGAUAGCUGGUUCUCCCCGAAAGCUAUUUAGGUAGCGCCUCGUGAAUUCAUCUCCGGGGGUAGAGCACUGUUUCGGCAAGGGGGUCAUCCCGACUUACCAACCCGAUGCAAACUGCGAAUACCGGAGAAUGUUAUCACGGGAGACACACGGCGGGUGCUAACGUCCGUCGUGAAGAG